rnacentral:lncRNA from 1 species
UAAACUCUGUAAAGUGCUUUCAUGAAAGUUUCCUUCUUUAUUUCUGCUUCUGCUGUACUUGGGUGGAGAAGAACUUGUCUCAAGUUUGGCUUUCGUCGAUCAGUAACAUGUCCAUGCAACCGUUAUAUCCUUUUUUUUCUUUCUUUCUUUUCAUUUGCCCAGCCAACUGAAGUUUCUUCAUGUGCAGCUCUCUUAGUUUGCAUCGCUUUCCCUCCUUGUCAUAUAAUUCACUUCCUUAUUUAGCAUAUAAGUUGAUUCUGAAAUAACAUGCGCUGCAAGUGCAUGUUUACCUCCGAAAUUGUGUGAUAUUCACGGCAAGGAAUUUCACUUCCUUAUUUAGCAUAUAAGUUGAUUCUAAAAUAACAUGCUCCGCAAGUGCAUGCUUUACCUCCGAAGUGCUUUACCUCUAUGCUCUCAGUCAAACCUAGAAUGUAGGAGUUAAAUUAUAAGAUUAUAAAAACAUUGAAUUGCUUCAAAGCUGUGAAUUUUGCAAUUAGAGUCUCAGGCAUGUAUUCACGAUUCCUCUUCUCCUUCCUUUGCGAUUUAGUUAUUAAGGCAACUAGUACCCACCGUAAUGUGGUUUAAGUUACUAAUGAUGCAUAACUUCGUGUUAAUUAUCCCAUCAAGUUACCUAAUGCCUUAGAUUAUAGCUCCUCCGAAAUGUACUAGGUAAGAUCAACCAUAUGAAGCCUGUUAAUGUAGUUUUGCUUGUAGCUGGAAUUAAGCAUUAUGGCAGUAAGGUUUCGUUAGCUCGAGUUGAGCUUCAGCUGUGCUAAAACAUUAGCUUUUAGUGCAUUGUUUGAAGUGCACACAUAUGUUGUUAUUGAACCCACACUUCUACAUUCUAAUUGCUUCUAUUCUGCAGGUUGUUUGAAGUGCACACAUAUGUUGUUCUUAUUGAACCCACACUUCUAAAUUUUAAUUGCUUCUAUUCUGCAGUACAAUUCAUUUUUAUAUCGUAUUCGCUGAAGAGAUGGCUUGAUGUCCUUCUCGCAUGGAUUUUUGGACUCAUGAAGUGAUUUCUAAACUGGUGAAAUCUGUUUUAAGUUCAGACUGAAGAAAUUGAUAUUUUUCCCUGACCAAAGAGAACACAGUCGUCGAUGUUGGAGUCCUAUCCAGUGGAUAUUUGCACUUGGUUAAAGCAGAGAAUUAUUUUGAUCACUCCAGAUGGAAGGGGUUGGAACCUGGAAAUGGGAGAGAUUCUUAAUAUAGAUAUCACUGUAAACUUUAGCUGCUUUGUAUAUUAUUUCAUUUAUUUACAUUUUCUAUUAACAGCUUUUUGUUCUAUUGGUCCUUAGUUGGUAACAUAGUUGUGAUCAAAUAUGAAACAUCUUAACUAGUGAUCUUUUUGGCAAGGGUAUCCAGAUUGUGAUUGUCCUUUUGAAAAGUACUUGUCCAAUUGAUACUAGGGUCUAGGCUAAGAUAUAUCUUUUGUAAAGUGCUUUCAUGAAAGUUUCCUUCUUUAUUUCUGUAUCUGCUAUACUUGGGUGGAGAAGAACUUGUCUCAAGUUGGGCUUUCGUCGAUCAGUAAGAUGUCCAUGCAACCGUUAUAUCCUCUCUUUUUUUCUUUCUUUUCAUUUGCCCAGCCAACUGAAGUUUCUUCAUGUGCAGCUCUCUUAGUUUGCAUCGCUUUCCCUCCUUGUCAUAUAAUUCACUUCCUUAUUUAGCAUAUAAGUUGAUUCUGAAAUAACAUGCGCUGCAAGUGCAUGUUUACCUCCGAAAUUGUGUGAUAUUCACG